rnacentral:lncRNA from 12 species
GUGCCGCUGUGCGUAUUCGCUGUGGACGUUUCCAUGGAGACGGUCGCUGGUAUGAAGCGGCGAGAAAAGAGCCGUGUGCGCGGAAUGACGUAAUGUGAUGGAUUGAAGCCGCUGUAGCGCCGGUCCCGCGUGCACUCGGUGCUGCUCCGCUCCGCAUCCCUCAGCGCUCUCUCUGCGCUCUUGUUUGGACCAAUCCUGGAGCAGAAGUACCUUCUCUGGGUUUGUGCUUUUGGAGGAUUUUACAAGAUCCGACUGUGAUGUAAAGCUGCAAGAACAUGCCGCUGUGUCAUAUGCAAGUUUUCAGAUCAUCAGGAAAAUGACUUUGUGAAUGCAGAAAUGUGUAAUUAUGAAGUUGGGGUCGCUGGUCACAGGGGCCCUUCCCCCCUUCUGGAUGCCUGUCACAGAGCAGCCGUGCUGGGCUUCAUCUGAAGGGAUGCACCAUGGUGUGAUCACACGUCUGUCCUACCCCAGACUCAAUGAAUCGCACGAAUGAAUGGACAUUACUGUGGCAAAGGGAAUUAGCUUGCUUGCAUAGGGACUUUGGAUUUGGGAAUACUGGAGCCGGUAGAGGAGCGUUGGAUUUUUUUUUGAAGAAGUGCAGCGGAUACUUCAAGGAGUGUUUUUGGAAGAUGUCUGAGAAGGGAGCCGAGGCGUCUACAUCUCAGCCCCCAAAGCGGAAGCAGGUGAUUCAUGGUCUGGAAGAUCAGAAAAAGAGUUUCUCCACUGGAGAUGAGAAGAACUGUGUGUUUGGCUCUCUCUUUUUACACCUCUUUGACAAUUCAUCUCAAUAACUCCUGCGAAGAACUGCUCAUCCAUAGAGGAAGGUCUUACUCUCUGCGGGCAGAGAUCUGAGAGACAUAAGGUUUCUGACGGAUGAUGACAGUACAGGCCACUG